rnacentral:lncRNA from 1 species
GGAUGCUAAGAACCAAUGCAAAAUGGUGAUGGAAGAGAGCGAAGGAAGGAUCGUAGAACCAGUCGGUGAUCCUGACUUACCUCGACUAAUGGUUUUUUAGGCAAAAUUUUGGGCAACUAUUAAUUGAAUUUUGAACUGUAAAUUGACUAUCUAGUUAUCAUUAAGAAAAGUUUUCUUUUGAGUUUUAGAGUUCCAUUGUAGACUUUGAAGCGUUUUGGAGGCUCAAACUUGAAGAUUUGCAAGUGGGUUUUUUAAUUGAACUUUUGGAAAACAUUUUAAAGGCUUUGGUACUAUUACCCAGCUGAUGGAUCAUCUAGUUGGUAAUUGUUUUUAUCUUUUUAUAAUGUUUAGCUAAAACCCCAAUUCUUGGG